ensembl:lncRNA
UGUGUUCAGGUCAAAAACUGGUUGCAGAAAUGACUGCAGGAUUUCUGGAUAUCUUUCAGCCAAGCCAGGUUGGGGAGAAUGAAGAUAUUUAUAAUAACUUUCAGCGUAGCCUCUGAGAUCUAAUAUGAGAAGGGAAGAAAGCAAGUACUCCCAAGAGGGCUCCUGAGUUACUGUUUUGCUGAUUUACCAGUUAGUGCUUAAAUCAGCUCUGGAGCGAAGCCAGAAAAUCACCACCAGAAAUGGAAACAGAUCUCUCAACACUUCUACCAUACACUGGGAAAAUCACUUUGAGGAACGUGGGCUACCAACAUCAACACUGCUGAGCUGCUGUUCAUGACCACUUGUAGCACGAAUGUGUCCACCGAGGAGGUUGGAGUGUCAGUCUAUAUCAUCUGCCAUCUUUUGAGCUGAUGUCUCCAGGGGCCGCAGAGAGGUCAUGAGAGAACAUCAUCUUUGGCUCCAAGAUAUUAAUGGAAUUUCAAACUUGUUUACGCCAUCCAGCAAGUUACUUUUAGGCACAGUAAUGCAGGAAUGGCUGCAGGAUUAACUCUAAUCCAAGGUCAGCGAAAGAAAAUACGGAGCUUGGCAAAUGAAUUUUUGAUCCAGAGAUCCAUGUAUUCAUCUUAAUGACAGCACAUUGCUAACAUUAACUCACAGCAAACAUGCACAGAAGAAGGUGAGUUGUCAGACAAACAUGCAGUGCCUGAGGAGUCUUCAUGCGAAGUACCACUGCUGGGAGGGGAUGCUCAAUAGGAAACCAUCUUACCGACUUGCUUACAAAGUAGGGGACUAUUACACCCUGAUUUUAAAGAAAGGAAAUGCAAGCACAUAGCUGGUGUAUGGGAGCAACACAAGAAGUCUAAAGCACUCCCAGAUGCUGGAUCUACAACUCUAAGGACUGACUUGAUUUUUGUCGUUGUUCUGUGGCAAAUGUCUCUGUGAACAAGAGCUUGUAAAAAAGUUUCCAGACUAAAAGCAGCAUUCUUUCUGGCUUAGCUCCUAAGCAUAUUGGAUGAUCUUAAUAUCUGCCUUGUGAAUGCAUAUUGCAUUUAUUGUAAUAUUGCAACAUUUAUUGCAAUAUUGCAAAUUCACCUGUAUUAAAUGUUGAUCCCAUGCAGAGACAUUGAACCCCAUUUCAUAAGGGAACUCUUUCACGUGCUGGGAUGUAUCACUUGGAGGCUUUUCAAAUGAGGUUGUUUUGGAAUAGCUUACUUCUUUGCACUAGUUUCCUGAGCAAGACUUGCAGGCUGUCAAAUAUAAACACAUAUUUCAGUGGGAACAGUUUAUAAGAGCUUCAUUCUAAUAUAAAUUUACAUGAGUUUUGCAUUGGUGUAACUGCUGGAUCUGGAUGAGGAUCAGAUGUGAGAUCAGAUCAGUGCUCACCCUGUGGCCUCGCACAUCCCCUUCUGCCCUUGGCAGAGUGUUACCUCACCGCUGUGUGCUCCUGCACCAGAAGGGCUGGCUGCUGGCUGCCCCACGCUUGGAGGUGGUACCUGUCCCUUCCAGUCACCCACUUGUAAAGAAUUAACCCACUGUUAAGGCCUGCAGCAAAAACCAUGUCAGCCAGGCUGGGGAGAUCACCAUGGCUGCUUUUUCCCUCUGUUUCACCCCAGAUGAAUUAGUUGAUGUUACCCCAAAUUCAGUUUGAUUUCCCAUCCAUUUUCCUUUCUCAGCCUCUGUAGGUUCUGUCCCUGAUUUCACAGCCCUGCAAUCAGCUGCGUGCUGAAUUAAUGCUCUGUUUACCUUCUAGUCCAGAUUGUUAACAGCAUGACCCUGGUUCACAAAGUUCAUUGGCUUUUAUUAGCUUAAUUUGGUCCUUUAAUGGUGCUGCUCAUUCACCUUCAAAGCCUGGGAGGCUGACUUCUUUUUUUGCUCUUUUUAUUCAGAGCAAAAAAAAAAAAAAAAAAAUCAGAAAAAGAAUGAUAUUUUUGGUAUAUUUAUGUCUCAUGUCAGCACAGCUUUACUUUUAUUAUUGGAAUUUCCACUCUUUUUCUUCACAGAUAUCGUUCCUUGCUCAAGCAACAGCUCUUUCUUUAUCUUUUCUUUUCUUCUUUUUUUCUUUCCUCUCUGGAAAAGGACAACCAGUCUCUCCCCUCUUCUCUUUUGCCACCCCAAGCUUUUGUACAGCUCACAGCAUCAUUCCUAGAAAAUCUGCAAAACAUGAAUAUUGAGGGCUGGGGCUGCUUUCAGUUACUGGAAUGAGGCUGCUAACCUCAUUCUGCAUCUGAUUAAUACGUAAGUAGCAAGGAGGUGCCCUGUAGGGAGUCCAAAUAGGAAUCCCUUCUGUUAUAGGAUGCCACAGCUAUGAGUCACUCCAAAUGAGGAUCUUAGUAAAAACAUCGACAUCUCUAAACUAUUUGGGGAAAAUAAACAAAUCUAUCUAAAGGAAUGUUAACCUGUUGAUCCUACGGUGGCUUUUUUUUCCUUCUGAAUGUUCUUUGCCUUUGCUUGAGCUAAUAACAUUGCUUUACUACAGAAAGAGGUUUUAAACUGUGCACAGCGCGGUCCCUUUGAGCCUAAUGGCAAUGCAGAGAUGAGCGAUGCUUUCGUGUGUUGUGCCCUCAAAGGAUCAUUUUCAGGAACAAAUGUUGCAGAAUAAAAGUAAUAACCAAAAUUAAGGACAUUACAGAGCUAAUGUGAAGUUUAUGGCAUGACUGAAAUACCAAACGCUUACAUAUUAUCUAAAACUCCCAUGGGAGAACUUUAGAAGUAUAAAAAAAGCUCAAGUCAAAUUCUCACUUCCUUUUUACUACUGACACUUCAAAGCUCUUCCUGCAGAAAAUGUCAUUUCCAGGCUUGAGUAACUCUCCUCUUUGGGCGUUCCUUGCCCCUGGCUGGCAGCAUAUUUGCCAUUAUCAUAUUUUUCCUGCAUUUGGGUGCUGCUGCUAUGCUGUGUCCAGGCACAGCUGAGCACCCUGCCUCUGAGCCACCAAGAGGAGCAGCAGCCCUGAGCUCCCUGGACCUAGUUUUUGUCAGCAGAUUAUGGGUGCAGAGCCCUGUUUGUGGCUGGCAUGCUGGUCCUGUGAGUGGUGGCAGUGCUGUGAUGUGUUUCUCAGUGCAGACAGCCAACUGCUGCCAAGCCAUUUCCCAAGCGGAAUACAAUAGCCAAGCUUGGACGUCACCUCCAGGUUGAAAUCACUCCUCUCCUAGGACCAAAACACCUUUCAGUUAGAAUGGAGAUGCUUAGUCCUGUGAAAGUUGCAGCUGUUGUAGGUGUCAUGCAAAGGUGGAGGGAUACUCCCAAAGGAUGCUGCCAUAAACCUGGGGGCUGCAGGCACUGCUGCUUCCUGAAAUGCCAGGUAAAUGUUGUCAGAUCCAGGUAAUGGCUCUACUUUCUCUCCUCUGUCUCUAGAAUUUCUCUCUCCAUCUGGUUUCAAGUAGUCCUGCUGGGCUUUUACCAUCCUUCUUCCCACUGUUAUGUAGCUGAAUGCUCCAGAUUCCUACACCCACAGUUUUUCUGUAGAUGAGGCUUACGUUACUUGAGUUUUUGUUGUUUCAUCCACACACCCGGCAGGUUUUAGGGCACAGCAAUUCAUCUGCAGUGAACUAUAAUCAUCAUACGUUUUCUGUCAUUUUAGCAGAAUAUUAAUGUUGAGCCGUACACAAACCACAGUGAACUCUGGAAGUUGAGCUUCUAACCAAAACUAAAAAUCAGUGAGGGAAGUAAGGGAAAGCUAACUGUGAACUGGUGGUUUCUGCAGCCUGUUCCUUCAUUCUCAGCCCCAGGGAAGUGAUGGGCAACCUCUGUGAAGCCACGCUGCUCACUGUACAAUCUGCACCAGCAGCACUGCCUUUCCCACUUUGAAGAUGAGAAAUGCCAGGGAUUUCAGUAACUUUCACAGGCAGUAUAUGCAUGUUUUCUAAACUUGUCAUCAUUUGCUUCUGCUGAUUUUUAAAUAAGGCUGCUUCUUUUUCUUCAUCUUUGAAUGAGAAGAAAGAAACACUACAUGGGAUGCUCAGCUUUUUUAACUCAAUAUGUAAUCAGGAAAAGCCUGAGCAUCGUUGUCAUGAACAAAAACACACAGAUGGGACUCUUGUAAGUGUUUAAACACAUAAAUUGAAGUUUUCCAGUUUUCUCCAGGGGAUUUUUAUGCAGCAAAUGGUAGGAAAAAAUAAUGGUGUAGGAGGGAUUAUAAUGCCUUUCCAAUCAUUCAAUCCUAACGUUCCAUAAGUUAGUGUAAUCACUUAUUAGCGAUAGCAACAAUAAAAAAAAAACACAAAGAUUUCUAAUCUUGACUGUUGUUUUCUGCAGUUUAAUCAGUCGUUCAUUCUUUUGAUCAUUUGUUUUACAACUUCUUGACGCCCAUCUAACUUGAGGUGGCAUCCCCUCAGCUGCAG